GUCCUUGUAACGCAAUGGAUAGCGCGUUGGACUUCUAAUCCAAAGGUCUGGAUUCGAAUUCCACCUGGGAUG